GAUGAACGCUAGCUACAGGCUUAACACAUGCAAGUCGAGGGGCAGCAUGAACUUAGCUUGCUAAGUUUGAUGGCGACCGGCGCACGGGUGAGUAACACGUAUCCAACCUGCCGAUGACUCGGGGAUAGCCUUUCGAAAGAAAGAUUAAUACCCGAUGGCAUAGUUCUUCCGCAUGGUAGAACUAUUAAAGAAUUUCGGUCAUCGAUGGGGAUGCGUUCCAUUAGCUUGUUGGCGGGGUAACGGCCCACCAAGGCAUCGAUGGAUAGGGGUUCUGAGAGGAAGGUCCCCCACAUUGGGACUGAGAUACGGCCCAG
rnacentral:rRNA from 1 species